ACGCAGUGAUGAGCGGAAGUAUAGUUUGACCUGGUAUGGCCCAGGCUUCCCGGCUUGGGCCCUGACCAGGACAUGAUCACUUAAUCUUCUCUCUGAGCUG
rnacentral:snoRNA from 13 species